CGCAGCGGGGCUUAAAGGGCCACUCCGCGGCGCUGCGGGCCGGGCGCGGUCGGCGCGGCGCCCCGUGCUGCGAGCGGCCGGGCGCUUGGGGCCCGGCUCUGCCGGGAAGCGAAGGCGCUUUCAUAACUGGGGGCUGUGUAAUAUUUGCAUUUUCCGUGGCUUUUCUGUUCUUUCUUCUCUCAGAACUAGACUAUGAAUUUAUGCUAAUUAAUGUUUUUGAGUCUUAGGGCAGUCAAGACAUUGAACGCAGGCCAGGGCGCAUGUUGGUACUACCUUCAAAGGAUGCCAUAGAAACAUCUGUUGUACCUGGGCAUUUGGAUUACAGAGGAUUACAGAUAGGGCAGAGGUUUCGGCCUGUGCACAAGAGACAAUUGUUUUUGAUACCUGGGAAGUCACUGAAGGCCAUUAAGAGUAUUAAUAAUGUUACUUAACAUUUUUACAGUGCUUUGCAUGCUUAAAGCACUACACAGACUAAAAAGUAAUUAGUGACCUGGAUGUUUCUGAAGUGAUCAGCAGUAUCAUUUAAACUAUCGUUAAAAUACAAUUAGCAGCCGUUUGAACUGAAUGUUGUAGUUCACAAAAGUCUAAUUGGCGGCUUGUGUGUCGCAUCUGGACAACAGGAGGAUUGUGUCAGCAUUUCUUCUUCUUGAACUGUACCAGCUCAAAGAGCACCUAGUCCCAGGAGUGGCUGCUAUACCCACAAGGUAAAAAUGGAUAGCCAUUAUGUGACGGGAAAGUUGACCACACAAAGUACCCCUUGUAUCCAGCCCACUGCACUGAAAAGCUGAUGAAGCUUGGAUUUUUUUUCAGCUUGUUUCAAUCUGUGUGCCGAUUCAAGCAGGCGUUGAUUCAUCACUUUAUACUUCAUAAUUCCAAACAAUUCCGUUUUUCUUUUUUUACUUGAGUUUUGGAGCACAGCUUUGCAGCAGAAGCAGCUGCUGUGGCAAGAUUCCUGGUGAUGAAAUUCUGGAGUACUUGGACAGACUCAUGGCCCAUCCACAGGCCCUGGCAGUAAGGAAGAGGGCUGCAAGUUCUCCCCGCAGCAGCAAGAACUAGAAAGUUCUGGGGCAACCAGGAGCAGCAGCUAAGUGGUUCCACAGUGAGACACACCAGAGCAAAAGAUGGGAAGAAAUAUUAAGGAAAAUCAGGUAAAACAAGUUUUUCCCUGUGGGUAAUGUAUGUACCAGUUAUCCCCAGGAAAAGGUACCUGUCAAGAUUACCUUUUGUACCCAAUGCUACAGCAGAAGUCCAUAUCCAUCUCUUAGUGGGACUGUGUUUCGUUAACAAAGGAAUCAAGACUAAAAUGAUAACAUUCAUCUCCAUGUUCUUGCCCUGACAUGGUUAUUCAUUAGGAGUUCUUCCUAAUGACUGUUCAGUUCCUUCCUUCUAGGGAGCCACUCCUAAUUCUCUUCUAUUCAGGUUGGAUAAUGAGUCACAGACUUUAAUAUUAAUCUUUAUUAACCCUUUCCUUACAGAACCAACAUCUGGUAACAGUGUGAAGUAUUUUGUGCCUCAAUGCUGAAGAAGAAAGCUCUGUAAUGCCUUUUCCUCUAUUACUCCUGGGUUUUAUAUGCAGAUAACCCAUUGAUUCUUGCAGGUUUUCUACUGUUGUUUACUUAAAAAUAUACUGUCUUCAUACCUUUGUUAAUUGCUCUUUAAAUCUUUCUUAGCCUACCUGCUUACCAGUGUAAUUUUGCUUGCCAUAAAUUAUGCUUCUUUUCCAUUGCCUUCUGUCUGGCCAGAUUUUCAGUCACUGAAAAACAGCAAUUUGAGUAAAAGAAAUUCUUGAAA